rnacentral:lncRNA from 1 species
AUGAAAGUGCUGCACUCAAUAUGGCAGCAAAUUUGGAAAAUUCAUCAGUGUCCACAGGACUGGAAAAGGUCAGUUUUCAUUACAAUCCCAAAGAAAAGCAACACCAAAGAAUGCUUAAACUACCACACAAUUGCACUCAUCUCACAUGCUAGUAAAGUAAUGCUCAAAAUUCUCCAAGCCAGCCUUCAGCAAUAUGUGAACUGUGAACUUCCAGAUGUUCAAGAUAGUUUUAGAAAAGGCAGAGGAACCAGAGGUGAAAUUGCCAACAUCUGCUGGAUCAUCAAAAAAGCAAGUGAGUUCCAGAAAAACAUCUAUUUCUGCUUUAUUGACUAUGCCAAAGACUUUGAUUGUGUGGAUCAAAAUAAAUUGUGGAAAAUUCUGAAAGAGAUGGGAAUAUCAGACCACCUGACCUGCCUCUUGAGAAACCUGUAUGCAGGUCAGGAGACAAUAGUUAGAACUGGACAUGUAACAACAGACUGGUUCCAAAUAGGAAAAGGAGUACAUCAAAGUUUUAUAUUGUCGCCCUGCUUAUUUAACUUAUAUGCAGAGGACAUCAUGAGAAACACUGGGCUGGAAGAAGCACAAGCUGAAAUCAAGAUUGCCAGGAGAAAUAUCAAUAACCUCAGAUAUGCAGAUGAUAACACCCUUACUGCAGAAAGUGAAGAAGAACUAAAAAGCCUCUUAAUGAAAGUGAAAGAGGAGAGUGAAAAAGUUGGCUUAAAGCUCAACAUUCAGAAAAUGAAGAUCAUGGCAUCCAGUCCUUUCACUUCAUGGGAAAUAGAUGGGGAAACAGUGGAAACAGUAUCAGAUUUUAUUUUGGGGGGCUCCAAAAUCACUACAGAUGGUGAUUGCAGCCAUGAAAUUAAAAGACACUUACUCCUUGGAAGGAAGGUUAUGACCAACCUAGACAGCAUAUUCAAAAGCAGAGACAUUACUUUGCCAACUAAGGUCCGUCUAGUCAAGUAUAUGGUUUUUCCAGUGGUCAUGUAUGGAUGUGAGAUUUGGGCUAUAAAGAAAGCUGAGCACCAAAGAAUAGAUGCUUUUGGACUGUGGUGUUGGAGAAGACUCUUGAGAGUCCCUUGGACUGCAAGGAGAUCCAAUCAGUCCAUUCUAAAGUAG